rnacentral:ncRNA from 1 species
UAAGGUGCCUACCUUCGGCUCAUGAGACUCCAUAAAAGACGGUGACUGAUAUAGACAGCAGUACGGUGACUGUGGAAGUUGGCAUCCGCUAAGGAGUGUGUAGCAACUCACCUGCAGAAUCAAAUAGCCGUUAAAAUGGAUUAUUCGGGUCUGUACUCAA